rnacentral:rRNA from 1 species
UAUGGCGAUAUCACAUUGAAACAUCGAUUCUCGUACAAUCACCGAAAUUAAGCAAUGUCGAACAUGGUCAGUACCUAGAUGGGUGACCGCUUGAGAAAAUCAGGUGCUGUAAG